AUAUGUCUAUACAUCACCGCUAGAAUAAAAGAAUUUUAUCAGCAAUGGUAAAAUUUAUGAAAUUCUAGUGAGUAGGAGGGUACAAUGGUGUGCGCAGAAGUGCUUGGCGUGAGCCUGCAUGGAGCCGCCAUUGGCACAGAUCUUGGUGGUAGUAGCAAAUAAUCGAAUGAGAUCUUGGAGGACUGAAGUGGAGAAGGGUUUCGUGUGAACAGUGGUUGAUCACGAGUUAGUCGGUCCUAAGCCCUAUGCGAAAGCUGUUUAAAUUAUGUUAUUAACAAAAAAACAAAAUUUUGUUUAGUUAUAAACACAUAAUCUAAAUCGGGCGAAAGGGAAUACGGUUCCAAUUCCGUAACCUGUUGAGUAUACGUUUGUUUACUAAAAGUGGGUUCUAUUAUACUCAUCCUGGCAACAGGAACAACCAUAGAGAAGCCUUCGAGAGGUAUUGGAAGAGUUUUCUUUUCUGUUGAACAAUCGUAUAACCAUGGAAGUCUUUCACAGAGAGAUAUGGUUAAUGGAUUGGAAGAACAUGACAUUUACUGUUGUGUCAAUAUUUUCUCCUUGGACCUUGAAAAUCUAUGGUGGGGCCACGCAAAUUUCUCAACAGACCGUACCGAUAUCC
rnacentral:rRNA from 1 species